GAACUUACUGCGUGAGUUCAUUCAUUCUUUAGCUUCUACCAGAAAUCCAUUUAUUUUUAUUUUUUAUUAUUUUUGACAUGUGCAAGUCUAUAGAUAAAAUAUUAUUGAAUAUCUCAAUUAAUUUUUCAUUUAUUUUACUAAACAUAGCUUGCUAGACCUGUUUGCUAGUAUGAGCUUGAAAUCAAAAAUUAAAGAUUAAAAGAAAAUGGCUGUCUUAUUAUCCAAUUUCAUGGAAAGGUUAGUUAACUUGUAACCAUCUCAUUACCAUUCCAGGUCUUCAGCCAAAAAAUAAAAUAGAAAAAGAAUGAAAGAAACAAAAAAGUAAUGGUUAUUAGGCAUCUCAAAUUAUCUAAUAAUUUUAUUAAAAGAAAUGCUUAAAUUGCUUAUAAGUGAAACCACUGGUGUGCAUGACCAUGUUUCUAAUAAUUUGUAUAUAUAGAUAUACAUAAUGCAUUCUGUGUAUAUUGUUUUUGUGUUUGUAUGUGUGGUAAUACAAUUGAAUGUCAAUGCAGAACUGAUCUCAAACAGAGCUAAAUAGUGUAAAAAUCCAUGUAGCCGACACUAAUUAGUUGGAGAUUAAAGCUUAGUUGUUGUUGUUUGAUAUGUGGUAAUGUAAUUUUCUCACUUGCCAUAGAAAGCUAGUAGUCAUUUCAUAUUUCAUUUAUCUCCUGUUUGCAGAUUGACG
rnacentral:misc_RNA from 1 species